UACGUAGGGUGCGAGCGUUGUCCGGAAUUAUUGGGCGUAAAGAGCUCGUAGGCGGUGUGUCGCGUCGGCCGUGAAAACCUGGGGCUCAACUCUGGGCGUGCGGUCGAUACGGGCAUCACUAGAGUUCGGCAGGGGAGACUGGAAUUCCUGGUGUAGCGGUGAAAUGCGCAGAUAUCAGGAGGAACACCGAUGGCGAAGGCAGGUCUCUGGGCCGAUACUGACGCUGAGGAGCGAAAGCGUGGGGAGCGAACAGG
rnacentral:rRNA from 1 species